UAAAUUAUGAGUUUGAUCCUGGCUCAGGAUGAACGCUAACAGUAUGCUUUACACAUGCGAGUCAAACAAAAAUAACAAUGUGGCGGACGGGUGAGUAGUAGUAGAAUUUUACCUUUUAGUUUAAUAUAAGUAUAUCUAAAAAUAGAGAAAAACUUUUAAGUUUGUAUGAAUAUUAAAUAUAUUAAUAAAAGAACGUAAUAUUUCGCUAAAAGAUAAAUCUGCGUAAGAUUAGGUUGUUGGUAAAGAGACAGCUUACCAAGCCUUUGAUCUUUAGUUGGUCUUAGAGGAUGAUCAACCACACUGGAACUGAAACAAGGUCCAGACCAUUUAUGGUCAGCAGUGAGGAAUAUUGGACAAUGAACGAAAGUUUGAUCCAGCAAUACUGUAUGAAUGAUGACAGCUAAUUUGGUUGUAAAAUUCUUUCAUUAAUUAUGAUAAUGACAUUAUUUGAAGAAGAAGUCCCGGCUAAUCUCGUGCCAGCAGCCGCGGUAAUACGGGAGGGGCUAGCGUUAUCCGAAAUAACUGGGCGUAAAGGGUUCGUAGACUGUAUUGUAAAUUAUUUGAUAAAUAUUAAAGCUUAACUUUAAUAAAAACAUUUAAUAUUGCUUUACUUUUGAGUUUUAAACGGAAGAGUAGAAUUCUAUAAGAAGAAAUAAAAUCCGUAGAUAUGUAGAGGAAUAUCAAUAGCGAAAGCGACUCUUUAGUAAAAACUGACGUUGAGGGACAAAAGUGUAGGGAGCAAACAGGAUUAGAUACCCUGGUAGUCUACACUGUAAACUAUGAAUGCUAAAAUUUAAUUACAAUUAAAUUAGAUUUUAUACGCUAACGCAAUAAGCAUUCCGCCUGAGGAGUACGAUCGCAAGAUUGGAACUCAAAGGAAUUGACGGGGGCCUACUACAAGUGGUGGAGCAUGUGGUUUAAUGCGAUAAUACGCGCGGAACCUUACCAGCCCUUGACAUAUUAUUUUAUAAAUAACAUUUUAGUAUUGUUUUUAUUAAAUUUUACAGGUGUUGCACGACUGUCGUCAGCUCGUGUCGUGAGAUUUUUGGUUAAUUCCUUUAACGAGCGUAACUCUUGUCUUUAAUUUCAAUUUAUAUAAUUAAAAAUUAAAAUCAUUGUGUUAGUUUUUAAUGUUUGUUUUAAAGAUACCGCUAACUAUAAGUUAGAGAAAGGUAAGAAUCAUGUCAAGUCAUUGUGGCCCUUAUGGGCUGGGCUACACAUGUGCUACAAUGGAAAUUACAAAAAGUAAUUGUAAUAUUAAUCUCUAAAAAUUUUCGUAGUUCGGAUUGUAAACUGCAACUCGUUUACAUGAAGUUGGAAUCACUAGUAAUCGCAAAUCAGAACGUUGCGGUGAAUGGUAAAUUGGCCUUGUACACACCGCCCGUCACAUGCGGGGAAUUAAUUUUAUUUGAAGAAUUAUAUAAAUAAUUUUAUUUAUAUUAUAUUAUUAGUUAUAGAAUCAAUUAAAAAAUUAAUAACUUGGAUGAAGUCGUAACAAGGUAGCUGUACGGGAACGUGUAGCUGGAAAUUGUAAAAU
rnacentral:rRNA from 1 species